GACGAACGCUGGCGGCGUGCCUAAUACAUGCAAGUCGAGCGGAUGACGGAGGAGCUUGCUCCUCCUGAUUCAGCGGCGGACGGGUGAGUAACACGUGGGCAACCUGCCCUGUAGAUUGGGAUAACUCCGGGAAACCGGGGCUAAUACCGAAUAAUCCUUCGGACCUCAUGGUCCGAUGUUGAAAGACGGUUUCGGCUGUCCCCACAGGAUGGGCCCGCGGCACAUUAGCUAGUUGGUGAGGUAACGGCUCACCAAGGCCAUGAUGCGUAGCCGACCUGAGAGGGUGAUCGGCCACACUGGGACUGAGGCACGGCCCAGACUCCUACGGGAGGCAGCAGUAGGGAAUCUUCCACAAUGGACGAAAGUCUGAUGGAGCAACGCCGCGUGAGUGAAGAAGGUUCUCGGAUCGUAAAACUCUGUUGUGAGGGAAGAACAAGUACCGGAGUAACUGCCGGUGCCUUGACGGUACCUCAUUAGAAAGCCACGGCUAACUACGUGCCAGCCGCCGCCGUAA
rnacentral:rRNA from 1 species